AUUGAACGCUGGCGGCAGGCCUAACACAUGCAAGUCGAGCGGAUGAAGGGAGCUUGCUCCUGGAUUCAGCGGCGGACGGGUGAGUAAUGCCUAGGAAUCUGCCUGGUAGUGGGGGAUAACGUCCGGAAACGGGCGCUAAUACCGCAUACGUCCUGAGGGAGAAAGUGGGGGAUCUUCGGACCUCACGCUAUCAGAUGAGCCUAGGUCGGAUUAGCUAGUUGGUGGGGUAAAGGCCUACCAAGGCGACGAUCCGUAACUGGUCUGAGAGGAUGAUCAGUCACACUGGAACUGAGACACGGUCUAGACUCCUACGGGAGGCAGCAGUGGGGAAUAUUGGACAAUGGGCGAAAGCCUGAUCCAGCCAUGCCGCGUGUGCGAAGAAGGUCUUCGGAUUGUAAAGCACUUUAAGUUGGGAGGAAGGGCAGUAAGUUAAUACCUUGCUGUUUUGACGUUACCAACAGAAUAAGCACCGGCUAACUUCGUG
rnacentral:rRNA from 1 species